AGUGGGGAAUAUUGCACAAUGGGCGAAAGCCUGAUGCAGCGACGCCACGUGAGGGAUGACGGCCUUCGGGUUGUAAACCUCUUUCAGCAGGGAAGAAGCGAAAGUGACGGUACCUGCAGAAGAAGCGCCGGCUAACUACGUGCCAGCAGCCGCGGUAAUACGUAGGGCGCAAGCGUUGUCCGGAAUUAUUGGGCGUAAAGAGCUCGUAGGCGGUCUGUCGCGUCUGGUGUGAAAUCCCAUGGCUCAACUGUGGGCUUGCAUCGGGUACGGGCAGACUAGAGUGCUGUAGGGGAGACUGGAAUUCCUGGUGUAGCGGUGGAAUGCGCAGAUAUCAGGAGGAACACCGAUGGCGAAGGCAGGUCUCUGGGCAGUUACUGACGCUGAGGAGCGAAAGCAUGGGGAGCGAACAGG
rnacentral:rRNA from 1 species